UAUUGCACUAGUGCAAUAUUAAAAUUUAUUGCACGCUAACUUUUGGUUACUUUCUGUGGGAAAUAUUAUAUUGCUAUACAAUAAUAACAUAUAUUACUCUUAGAUGCAUAUGUUUUUUUAAAUACAUGUAGUUAUUAUUGGCUGUGAACUAGCUGUCAGUAAUUUUUUGAAUAAUCUUAGAUCUGUACUUAGUGUCUUUGUUGUGGGGAUGUAUAAUUAGUCGACCACGUUCACUCUGUAUCUUUUUUUAUUUGCAUUUCUAUUUGUAUCCAUUGAUGAGAUGUGCCCUUUUCAACUGAUUUUUAUAUUUAAUUCUUAUGUUGUACUGUUAAAACACUGUCCUGGAUUAUUGGGAGGGUUGGCAUCACUUUCUGUAUGUUCCUGUCCUAAGCUGUGUAACAUAUUUGUUUUUCGUUCAUUGUUUGGUACUAAGGUUAGGUCGUUAGUUUUUCUCUUUUGAAUUGUUUUACAGUUUUUUAAAACGGUGCCUUUAAAACUGAAAAUUCUCUGUCA
rnacentral:lncRNA from 1 species